rnacentral:rRNA from 1 species
CCUACGGGUGACAGCAGUGGGGAAUUUUGGACAAUGGGCGCAAGCCUGAUCCAGCUAUUCCGCGUGUGGGAUGAUGGCCCUCUGGUUGUAAACCCCUUUAGUAGAGAACGAAAAGCCGCUUUCGAAUAAAUCGCUCUGCUGACGGUACUCUAAGAAUCAGCACCGGCUAACUACGGGCCAGCAGCCGCGGUAAUACGUAGGGUGCGAGCGUUGAUCGGAAUUACUGGGCGGAAAGGGGGUGCAGGCGGCUGAGUAAGACAUGUGUGAAAUCCCCGGGCUUAACCUGGGAACCGCAGAUGUGACUGCCUGGCUAGAGUGCGUCAGAGGGAGGUGGAAUUCCACGUGUAGCAGUGAAAUGCGUAGAUAUGUGGAAGAACACCGAUGGCGAAGGCAGUCUCCUGGGACGCAACUGACGCUCAUACACGAAAGCGUGGGGAGCAAACAGGAUUAGAUACCCCAGUAGUC